rnacentral:SRP_RNA from 2 species
GCUGGGCAUGGUGGCGUGUACCUGUAGUCCCAGCUACUCAGGAGACUGAGGCAGGAGGAUCGUUUGAGCCCAGGAGUUCAAGGCUGCAGUGAGCUAUGAUCAAUGUCACAGCACCCUAGCUUAGGUGACAGAGCGAGACCCUGUCUCUU